rnacentral:lncRNA from 1 species
AAAAACAUUUGCUUUGCUUUGUGUUUCCUUUUUCUUGAGUUAGUCAUCUUACUUGCAAUCAUCAAACUGGUCUUUAUUUUCAAUGUUUUGUAAAAAUUAAGGAAUGUCAUACAUCCGAGGUCUAAACUUUUAGAUUAUUUUGACUUUUUCUUUCGAGACUUCAGUGCACACAUGCUUGAAUUUAUAGGCAAAUGAAAAGACGAGAGAUGUUUAGAAAGGUUUAGAGGAGAAUGGAAUAGUUGUAUAGACAAGUCAUUCCUCAUAUAAUCCUCAAAGGAGAUGUGAUAUGAGAAUGUCAAGAUGAAACACGAGAUACGCCAAGGGUGCCCCAGCUUGAUGUUUUGGAAAAUGAGCUGGGGUAUGGAAAUUAGGGUGAAAUUUCAAAUGAGAUUUGCAAAGCUGCCCCAGUCUUAAGGUUAUGGAUUGAUGAAAAACUCGUGUGAGACUUACAAAGCUGCCCCAGUUUUUUUUUUUUGCAUAGGGUUCUGUUUGGAAGAGGUAAUGGGCAUGAAAAUGAUAGGCUAAAUGGAUGGUCCCCAACUGGUUUGAUUUUCUUCUGCGUGCUUCUGGCUAGUUGGCAGGGAGAUCCCCUCUUCCUGAGACAUUACUUUUUUCUCUUCUUUUCUUGUUUUCAAUCAUUCAUUUUAAAAUCUUUUUUUUUUGGUGCGACACAUUGAACGUCACUUCGCCUUAACGCAAAAUUAAGCUUUAUGAAAAUUUGAGCAAUCAUGAUCCAAUCUGUGUGGGCUUUACUAGGCUUGUAACGUGGCUAGGGUCUAAAAGGUAUUAGAAGAAAGGGUAUAAAGGCCCAAAUAAAUGCUUGUUGGUUAUUACUUCUUGAAAUAAGAGUUAUCAUCUAGGCAUUCCACCAACCUUUUGACUUUUGAACACUUUGCUUUUUUCUCAAACUUUGACUUUUAUUCUUUUUGCUCAACAUCACUUUGUGAUUGAUUUUUUUUGUUCUUUUUGCUUUGUUCUUUUUUGUUUUGUUCACUCUUCUUGAUGAAUCUUUUUCGUUUAAUCAUUGAGUGCUCUUCAUUUUCGUCAUGAGUUGACUCCUACCUGAUGAUAACCCUUGCUUGGGGAUAAUUUUGAAAAAGAANNNNNNNNNNNNNNNNNNNNNNNNNNNNNNNNNNNNNNNNNNNNNNNNNNNNNNNNNNNNUUUUAGGUAAAGACAAGAAGGCCACACAUCAUUUUGAACUCUGAUUGCUUUAUUUUCAAAAGAUUAACUUUGUGACUAGAUGACUUCAACAUAAAUCGUUUUUUUUUUUUUUUUGCUUUUCCUUUUCUAGACCGCCCUUUCAGUUUUUCAAUCUAGUGGAAUGCUUCUUCUUGUUUUGUUUUUUUCUUCCUUUUUUUUGUCCCAAUGGAUUCAGGGAUCACCUUACUAGCGCAAGAAAGAAAACUUUUGGUUAGGCCAAUCUACCCCUGUGUAAAGGUUUACUUUGGAACUGAGGGUAGUGACAAUGUUUGUUGGGAAAGAUUCUUUGUUUUGGAAAAGCGAAGGAUGAAGGUCUUCAAGCAAGAUGUGCACAAACGUCUUGAGAAAAAUGUCAAAUUUUUAUUUUUGAUUAAAUAUUUGACCUCGCAAAAGUCUGACACUGCAACUUUUGUUUUUGAUUUAUCAUUUUUUUGGUUAUAUUGAUAAAAAAUGAGUUUAACAAUUCGUAAGAAAGACAAGUGACUCAAGAUAUGCACAAGAUGCGUGAUUUUAUCAAGUGAAAAUGAGGGUUAGAAGACUGCACACAUCUCUCUUUGUGCCCCUAUAGAGGUUCGACGCUUAAGAUUCAAGGUCAAGUAUAUGCAAUCUCACAAGGAUGGUUCCCUGAGCCUAAGGAUCAAUGGUCACUAGAGCUAUGGCCCCCUCCACAGCAUCUCCACAACAGUCGAGUAAUCAACUAGGUGUGAAGACACAAGUAAGGAGGACAGACUCUAGCUGGAGUUCUCACGAUAGCCAGACAGGGAAGUACAUGCCAGAGUGACACUGCUACACAACUCCUCCAAUUCUAAGUUACACUCAGACCCGGGUAUACGGCCUCACUCAAAAUAUGCACAAAGUGUGUGUGUGUGAAGGGAGAAUGCAAUGCACCCAAACCCUCACCUACAAAACAACUAAAAAAUUUUCCCAAGCAAAUAUAACAUGUUUUCUACCCUACGGUUCAAUAUACAAGCAAGUCACCUG